CGUCAAAUCAUCAUGGCCCUUACGUCCUGGGCUACACACGUACUACAAUGGUCGCUAACAAUGGGAUACAAUGGCGCGAGCCGGAGUCAAACCUCAAAAGCGAUCUCAGUUCAGACUGCAGGCUGAAACUCGCCUGCACGAAGGCGGAAUUGCUAGUAAUCGCGAAUCAGCAUGUCGCGGUGAAUACGUUCCCGGGCCUU
rnacentral:rRNA from 1 species